GUCGAGGAUCUUCUGCAAUGGGCGCAAGCCUGACAGAGCGACGCCGCGUGGGGGAGGAAGGCCUUCGGGUUGUAAACCCCUGUUGCCGGUUAAGAAUGCUGGGGUGCAAAUAGCGCUUCCAGUUGACAAAGGCCGGUGAGGAAGCCACGGCUAACUACGUGCCAGCAGCCGCGGUAAUACGUAGGUGGCAAGCGUUGUUCGGAAUCACUGGGCAUAAAGCGCGCGUAGGCGGCUAAGUCAGUCGGGUGUGAAAGCCCUCGGCUCAACCGAGGAACUGCGCUCGAUACUGCUUGGCUUGAGGGUGGGAGGGGAGAGUGGAAUUCCCGGUGGAGCGGUGAAAUGCGUAGAGAUCGGGAAGAACGCCGGCGGCGAAAGCGACUCUCUGGUCCAUUCCUGACGCUGAGGCGCGAAAGCUAGGGGAGCAAACGGGAUUAGAUACCCUGGUAGUCC
rnacentral:rRNA from 1 species